rnacentral:rRNA from 1 species
AUUGAACGCUGGCGGCAUGCCUUACACAUGCAAGUCGAACGGCAGCGCGGACUUUGGUCUGGCGGCGAGUGGCGAACGGGUGAGUAAUACAUCGGAAUGUACCCUGUUGUGGGGGAUAACUAGUCGAAAAGUGCGCUAAUACCGCAUACGACCUGAGGGUGAAAGUGGGGGAUCGUAGGACCUCACGCUCACGGAUGGGCCUAGGUCGGAUUAGUUAGUUGGUGGGGUAAAGGCCUACCAAGGCGACGAUCGGUAACUGGUCUGAGAGGAUGAUCAGCCACACUGGGACUGAGACACGGACCAGACUCCUACGGGAGGCAGCAGUGGGGAAUUUUGGACAAUGGGGGGAAACCUGAUCCAGCCAUGCCGCGUGUGUGAAGAAGGUCUUCGGGUUGUAAAGCACUUUUGUCCGGGAAGAAAUGGCGUUGGUUAAUACCUGGCGUGGAUGACGGUACCGGCAGAAUAAGCACCGGCUAACUACGUG